rnacentral:lncRNA from 1 species
CGCGUAGGCUCAUUAUUUAGGGUUCCAGGCGGGAAGAAUUAUCACUGGAGACUGAGAAGUGACCACAGUUCUGAAAGCCCAGGCGCUAGAGGUGGAUCUGGCUCCUCCAGAUUCGCCGGCUUCUCCCGCACAGAUGCGGGCUCACGCUCCCCAGCUCUCAAGGCGUGGGUCUCCAGUGCGUGGGAGUCUGGCCCAUCCUCCGGGACUGGCUGGAGUUUAGCAGCUUUCCCACCGCACUUCGCAUCUGAAGCUUGAAUCUCCUAGGAGGCGAAUCCCUGCGGCCAGGAGCUCAGCCCCGCCCAGAUGGGGGAAACCUCUUCAUUUGCAUACGAAAAGCUAGAGGUGCCUCCAGCAGGCUGCCUUCUGGAACGGAGCGACCAGACCGGGAGCGGACAGUCUCAAGCGUCAGCCCCACCCACCUCCCCUCAGUCCAUCUAAACUGCUCUUUUCUCCUGCGUACACCCCUCAUCUCCUACAAGAGUACUGCUACUGGGAACCGAAUCUCUGUCUCCCACAAGCUAAGCAUGAAGUCUCCACCAAGCUCCAACCGGACUGGGAGACGAGACAUUUUACAACAUAGCUGCUGCCAGAAGCCUGUAUCUCCAGGGUCCCAUUGUCUGCACAUCUCCAAAUAAAUGGAAACACAACAAGACAGCUGGUUGCUUUUGCUCAACUUCUAACUUUAAUAACCCUAUGAAAUUUCUGAAGUGGUUUUUAGUUUACCCAAUCCACAACAGAAAAAGUCAUUUGAGACAGUUUAUUAGGACAGAGUUCUUGGGCAAAUCACCAAAUUCGGACAUUUCUUUUGCUCCCUGGGAAAAUUAUAGCUGACACAAACUUGCCUGCAAGAUACGUCCUUCCUGUACAAGCAUAGUAUUUGAUUCCCC